rnacentral:rRNA from 1 species
AGAGUUUGAUCAUGGCUCAGAUUGAACGCUGGCGGAAUGCUUUACACAUGCAAGUCGAACGGCAGCACGGGGCAACCUGGUGGCGAGUGGCGAACGGGUGAGUAAUACAUCGGAACGUGCCCAAUCGUGGGGAUAACGUAGCGAAAGUUACGCUAAUACCGCAUACGAUCUACGGAUGAAAGCGGGGGAUCGCAAGACCUCGCGCGAAUGGAGCGGCCGAUGUCAGAUUAGGUAGUUGGUGGGGUAAAGGCUCACCAAGCCAACGAUCUGUAGCUGGUCUGAGAGGACGACCAGCCACACUGGAACUGAGACACGGUCCAGACUCCUACGGGAGGCAGCAGUGGGGAAUUUUGGACAAUGGGCGCAAGCCUGAUCCAGCCAUUCCGCGUGCAGGAUGAAGGCCUUCGGGUUGUAAACUGCUUUUGUACGGAACGAAACGGUCUGCCCUAAUACGGCGGGCUAAUGACGGUACCGUAAGAAUAAGCACCGGCUAACUACGUG